GCUUCCACAUGAUGAUGAGAUUUUUCUGUAACAGCACAGUGUCAUCAAUAUCAAUUAAACAGCAUAAAUGAGAGCACUUGUUUGUAGGCAGAACAGUUCACAUUCCACUUCAGCACCAAGAGCCAACUGCCUGUGAUGAAAUGAGAUGAGCAGCUCAUACAUCAUGUUUCAGCUAAGUCACAGGCACUCUUCCACUAUCCAUGAAAUACAACAGACGGAUAAGAAAGGUUAAAAAAUAAUUUACCAAACUCCUCUCAAAUCAAAACAUAGGAAGCUACUGCAUACUUUGACACUUGAGAGAAAUUACAUCUUUG
rnacentral:lncRNA from 1 species